UACAGAGGGGGCAAGCGUUAUUCGGAAUUAUUGGGCGUAAAGGGCGCGUAGGCGGUGGUGCAAGUGGAAGGUGAAAUCCCUCGGCUCAACCGAGGAACUGCCUUUCAAACUGCGCUACUUGAGUCCGGGAGAGGUGAGUGGAAUUCCCAGUGUAGCGGUGAAAUGCGUAGAUAUUGGGAGGAACACCAGUGGCGAAGGCGGCUCACUGGACCGGAACUGACGCUGAGGCGCGAAAGCGUGGGGAGCAAACGGG
rnacentral:rRNA from 1 species